rnacentral:misc_RNA from 1 species
GAUGAAGAACGCAGCGAAAUGCGAUACUUGGUGUGAAUUGCAGAAUCCCGUGAACCAUCGAGUCUUUGAACGCAAGUUGCGCCCGAAGCCAUUAGGCCGAGGGCACGCCUGCCUGGGCGUCACACGUCGUUGCCCCCCCCAUCUACUCCUUCGGGAUUGCGGGGGGCGGAUGAUGGCCUCCCGUGCGCCUCGCCGCGCGGUUGGCAUAAAUGCCAAGUCCUCGGCGACGCACGCCACGACAAUCGGUGGUUGCGAAACCUCGGUUGCCCGUCGUGUGCGGUCGUCGCGCAUCGAGGGCUCGAAAAAAUUGCCGAGUUCCGGCUCGGCUUUCAACGCGACCCCAGGUCAGGCAGGGUUACCCGCUGAAUUUAAGCAUAUCAAUAAGCGGAGGA